rnacentral:rRNA from 1 species
UACGGAGGGAGCUAGCGUUAUUCGGAAUUACUGGGCGUAAAGCGCACGUAGGCGGAUAUUUAAGUUAGAGGUGAAAGCCCAGGGCUCAACCCUGGAAUAGCCUUUAAUACUGGAUAUCUUGAGUUCGGGAGAGGUGAGUGGAACUCCGAGUGUAGAGGUGAAAUUCGUAGAUAUUCGGAAGAACACCAGUGGCGAAGGCGACUCACUGGCCCGAUACUGACGCUGAGGCGCGAAAGCGUGGGGAGCAAACAGG